rnacentral:rRNA from 1 species
GUGGGGAAUAUUGGGCAAUGGGGGCAACCCUGACCCAGCGACGCCGCGUGGGUGAAGAAAUCCCUCGGGAUGUAAAGCCCUGUUGUAUGGGAAGAGCAGAAGACGGUACCAUACGAGGAAGCCCCGGCAAACUACGUGCCAGCAGCCGCGGUAAUACGUAGGGGGCAAGCGUUGUCCGGAAUUACUGGGCGUAAAGCGCACGCAGGCUGAAUUAUAAGUCGGUAGUCAAAUACGGAGGCUCAACUUCCGGAUAUCUAUCGAUACUGUAAAUCUAGAGUAUGUGAGAGGGAAGCGGAAUUCCCGGUGUAGUGGUGAAAUGCGUAGAUAUCGGGAGGAACACCAGUGGCGAAGGCGGCUUCCUGGCACAAUACUGACGCUCAUGUGCGAAAGCUAGGGCAGCGAACGGGAUUAGAAACCCUGGUAGUCC